UGGGGAAUAUUGCACAAUGGAGGGAACUCUGAUGCAGCGACGCCGCGUGUACGAAGAAUGCUUUCGAGUCGUAAAGUUCUUUUUUAUGGGAAGAUAAUGUCGGUAUCAUAAGAAAAAGCCCCGGCUAACUACGUGCCAGCAGCCGCGGUAAUACGCAGGGGGCUAGCGCUGUCCGGAAUUACUGGGCGUAAAGGGUUCGCAGGCGGAAAUGCAAGUCAGGUGUAAAAGGCAGUAGCUUAACUACUGUAAGCAGUUGAAACUGGAUAUCUUGAGAAGAGUAGAGGUAAGUGGAAUUUUUAGUGUAGCGGUGAAAUGCGUAGAUAUUAAAAAGAAUACCGGUGGCGAAGGCGAGUUACUGGGCUCAGUCUGACGCUGAGGAACGAAAGCGUGGGUAGCAAACAGG
rnacentral:rRNA from 1 species